rnacentral:rRNA from 1 species
UACGGAGGGUACAAGCGUUGUUCGGAAUCACUGGGCUUAAAGGGCGUGUAGGCGGGGCGCAGGGUGUUGGGUGAAAUCCUCGGGCUCAACCCGAGAACUGCCCGGCAAACCGGCGCUCUUGAGGCGGGUAGAGGUGACUGGAACGAUGGGUGGAGCGGUGAAAUGCGUAGAUAUCCAUUGGAACGCCGGUGGCGAAAGCGGGUCACUGGGCCUGUCCUGACGCUGAUACGCGAAAGCGUGGGUAGCAAACAGG